UAGAGGCCUCCACCAGGAGCUCCCUGUUC
rnacentral:sRNA from 1 species